rnacentral:rRNA from 1 species
UACGGAGGGUGCAAGCGUUAUCCGGAUUCACUGGGUUUAAAGUGUGCGUAGGCGGGUUGGUAAGUCCGUGGUGAAAUCUCCAAGCUUAACUUGGAAACUGCCGUGGAUACUAUCAAUCUUGAAUAUCGUGGAGGUAAGCGGAAUAUGUCAUGUAGCGGUGAAAUGCUUAGAUAUGACAUAGAACACCAAUUGCGUAGGCAGCUUACUACACGAUCAUUGACGCUGAGGCACGAAAGCGUGGGGAGCAAACAGG